UACAGAAGCCCCAAGCAUUACCCGGAUUCACUGGGCGUAAAGGGUGCGUAGGCGGUUAUAUUAGUCUCGCGUUAAAUCUUCGGGCUCAACCCGAAGCUCGCGUGGGAAACGGUAUAACUAGAAGGAGUGAGAGGUGUGCGGAACUCAAGGUGUAGGGGUGAAAUCCGUUGAUAUCUUGGGGAACACCAAAUGCGAAGGCAGCACACUGGCACUUUCUUGACGCUGAGGCACGAAAGCGUGGGUAGCGAACGGG
rnacentral:misc_RNA from 1 species